rnacentral:lncRNA from 1 species
GUAUUUCCUGUUGGAAUAGUGUCUAAGACUAAAACUAUAUUAGGCAAGUAUUUGACCCGGUUGUGCAUGGUCCUUUUGGGUUGCCUUCACCAUAGCAACUUGAUAGGAUGAUUUAUUAAGAGAGAGUAAAUAUUAUUAAUAUAUUAUGAGAAUAAUAUAUUGUUAUUUGAUUAAUAUAAGUCAUAGAAUUAAUUGGAAUUAAUUUGGUGGCUUAAAGAGAUUAAUUAAAUAAGAGGGUAUAAACUGUCAAUUGUUUGAUAGUUAAACUUUAGACUGUAAAUCCAUAAUUGAUAGGGGUGGAAGGAUUCUAGAAGCUAUGGAUAGCUUUAAAUCGUCCAAGGCUAUCUAAGGAAUGGAUUUGGAUAGCUUUAAGAGAAGAUUAUCCAAUUAGGGUUUAGGUUGUAACCCUUAAGGAGUCUACAAGUAUAAAUAGACCCUAUGGCAAAGGGAAAUCGGUACUUCAUCAAAAGUAGAGAACCCCUGGCCGAAUUCCUCCCCUCUCCUCUCUCUCAAAUCAUCCUCCUUGCUAUUUGGUGUUUGUAAGCCAUUAGAGGAGUGACAAUUGUGACUCUAGAAGCUCCAAGACAACAAGAUCAACAAGGAAUUCAAAGGUAUGAUUCUAGAUCUGUUUCAAUAUUGUUAUUACACCUAAAUAGUCAUUAGAAGUCUUGGAUUCAAAGCAUGUUUAAUUAGAAAGCCUAGAUCCAAGCAUUAGGGUUUUGCAUGCGCACAUAGGAAAGUUCUUAUGGCUAAAACCCAUUAGUGGUAUCAGAGAUUGGUUUGGUUUCUGUUAAAUUGUUGCUUAAUUGGUCGAAAUUUAACUGCAAAAUUCGAUUUUUAUGUUUCUGAGUCAUGGACUCGGCGAGUUCCAAAGUGGACUCGGCGAGUUGGCCUGACUCGGCGAGUUCCUUUUGUGCACUCAGCGAGUCCAAGCGUCAGGAUGGCCAGAUUCGGGAUUUCUUCAUGAUUAUCUUAUGGAAACUUACCUUAAUCAUAUUAGAUCAACCCUAAUCCGAUUUUUUGAUAUAUAUGACUAUAAUCUUGAUCUAAUUAAAGAUAUUUAUCAACUAAUAAAAUAUUUAAUUUCCUUAUAUGAUAAUUAAUUAAUUAUUUUGAUUAUUUUGGUAAUUAUCUUGAAAGAAAUCUUGAAUAAAUCAAAUAUAGAUAAUUAGGAAAUUAAUUGUUAAUUGAAAUUAUUUGUUAUUUGAUCCUCCAUGUUUUAAAUGUUUAAAACUUGUCCUCAAGUUUUGAAAUUUAUAUUUUGUGAUUAAAAGUUUUAAUUUAGACAAUUUAAAUUUCAAACCCUAGAUUUUAAAAGGUUUAAAAUACAACCCUAUACUAAUAUAAUAUUACAAGAUUAAUAUAUAUAUAUAUAUAUAUAUAUAUAUAUAUAUAUAUAUGUAUAUGUAUAACUAAAAUGCUAGUCUUACCGUUAGUAGGCCUCAUUCACGAAGCCGAUCUAUAAGGUGGGUAUAAGGUUGCGGCCUAUAAAAUGGCGCUUAAUGGGUGUACACUCACACCCACCGCUUGCUUGAUCGGUGGAGGGUCGUUAGCCGAACGGGUAGGAUAGGGCAACCUCAUCCUCUCAUUAAAAGUAUAAUAAGAAAUACAAAGUAACUACACAUAUUUUAAAAUUUCCCAAUCUUAGUUACUUUAGGAAAAGUGAAUUGAUGCAAUCCCAUGAAAUUACACUUUGCACCUUGCUAAGAAGUUAGUGGAGCGUGUGUGGUUUACCGGCACACUAAUUGGUUCUAAGCAAAGGUGGCAAAGGGUGAUUCAUUGUUUAUCAUAGUUCGAUGGAGCGUGUGUGGUUUACCGGCACAUCGAAUAGGUGAUCGUUACAAUGAAGGCACCAUGUGAAUUUGCAUGGUAAUUCACACCCGCUUUGUGAUCCUCGGUAUCCCAGUCACAAACAAGAGGGGCAUAUCGAGAUUUAAACAUGCCAUUGAAUAGUUUCAAUGAAUCUCAUCCGAACCUAGGAAUUCUCAAUACAUUUAGGACUUAUAGUUAGGUUUUUAUGGUGGAGAAUUAGUGAAUCGUCAUUCACUUACCUUCAAUUUAUUUGCAUGUUAGAUUACGGCAUCCCUUUUCUAGUAUGUAAAUGUUAUUGUUGGAUCCUAGCCCUAAUUUUCUUAUUGGGUGAUAAUUAGGGAUUCUUAUUCUAAUCUAUCUUUGUCCUUUUCUAAUUGUAGAUGUCGAACGCAAACAACGCUGCUGCUAGUUCUUUCACGUUGAUGAGCCUUUGCCAAAAGGUCACCUUCGAUGGAACGAACUUUAGCGAAUGGAUAAGAUACAUUCGCACCAUUGCUCGCUAUGAGGAUAAGGAGUAUGUCCUCGAUGAGAAGCUCGAGAAAAUCAACCCUGAAAUCGCUACUCCGGCUGAAAUGACCGCUUUUGAAACUCAUGAGCGCGAUGCAACGAAGGUACAUUGCAUCAUGAUAGCCACCAUGAACUCCGAAUUCCAAAAGUCCUAUGAGGACAUGUACCCGUACGAGAUGCAUCAAGACUUAUUGGAGAGAUACCACCAAAACGCGAGACAAGAGAGGUACGAGAUUUUCACUAACAUGAUUUCCGCGAAGAUGGGUCAUGGAGAAUCUCUUACCGUGCACUUGCAAAAGAUGCAAAGGUAUGUCGACCGCCUUCGCAAGUUAAAUGUUGACUUCGGUGAGGAUUUGGCGAUCGACAUGGUGCUUCACUCUUUGCCUCCGAUGUACAAUCAAUUUAGGAUGACCUACCACAUGAACAAAGAAGAGGUCACCCUAAGCAAGCUCCAAGGUCUCUUGAGGGUUGCUGAGAGCAACUUCAAAGACAAGUCUGUUGCACCAACUCCCAAUCCGCCCGCUGCUCCUGUCUUGGCUAUUGGACAAGGGAAGGGAAAGAAGAGGAAAGCUUCAUCGAAGAACUAUCGCAAGGUGAAAGCCCGAGAUGGUGCCUCUUCUAGUGGGACCAAAGUUGAUCCCGCCAAGCCCUGCUCUAACCCGAAGGAGGCAGAGUGCCACCACUGCCACAAGAUAGGACAUUGGAAGAGAAGCUGCCCGGAUUACCUGCAAGCAAUCAAAGAAGGAAAGAUCAAGCCAUCUUUCGCAGGUAUAUAUACAAUCAAAUCUAACGAUUCUAAUCAUGCUAUUUCUUGGGUUCUUGAUACCGGUUGUGGUUAUCACAUUUGUUCUAAUGUGCAGGGACUAAGAAGAAGUAGGGAUGUGGAGCAAGGAAGGAUCAAUCUAAUCAUGGGGAACAGAAGAUCGUCGCCUGUGACCAAGAUUGGAGUGUAUUCUUUAGUGCUUAGGAAUAGUUUAGUUUUAGAUUUGAACAAUUGUUGCUAUUCGCCAGAAAUGGCAAGAAACAUCAUUUCAUUUCAUGGUUUAUAUAGACAAGGAUUUAGAUUUUCUUUUAAUAAUGAGAAUGGUUCUAUUUUGGCUUAUCUAAAUGGUGUCUUUUACUUUGAAGCUAUACCAUGUAAUGGAAUAUAUGAAACCGUUAUGAUUGUUGAUAACUUAGGAAAUGAUGUUUUGAAUAUUGAUUCUUCCACUAGUAUGGAUAAAGCAUCCUUGUGGCAUUGUCGUCUUGGACAUGUCAACAAGAAACGCAUAGCCCAACUCCAAAAGGAUGGAGUGUUGGAGUCAUUCGACCUUAGGGAAGAUGACACAUGCGAGUCUUGUUUGCUUGGAAAGAUGACUAAGUCACCCUUCACGAGUACAUGUGAAAGGGGCGAGGGUCUAUUGGACCUAAUACAUACCGAUGUAUGUGGACCGUUUAGAUCAACCACGAAGGAUGGGAACCGCUUCUAUGUGACUUUUACCGAUGACUAUAGUAGAUAUGGGUAUAUCUACUUAAUCAAGCAAAAGUCAGACACCUUUGAAAAGUUCAAAGAGUUCAAGAAUGAAGUGGAGAAUCAAUUGGGCAGGAAAAUCAAGAUGCUUCGAUCCGAUCGAGGAGGAGAGUACCUAAGUCUUGAAUUCCACGAUUAUCUCAAGGAGUGUGGAAUAGUUUCACAAUUGACGCCUCCUAGGACACCGCAGUUGAAUGGUGUGGCAGAAAGGCGUAAUCGAACCUUAUUGGAUAUGGUUCGCUCUAUGAUGAGUCGUGCUUCACUACCAAUCUCUUUUUGGGGGUAUGCCUUAGAGACUGCCGCCCAUAUCCUUAACCGAGUCCCUACUAAGAAGGUUGCCAAAACACCUCACGAGAUGUGGACAGGGAAAGCUCCCUCGUUGGCACAUAUCAAGGUUUGGGGUUGCGAGGCUUUCGUAAGACGAGAUACUCACGACAAGCUUGAACCUCGAAGUGAGCGAUGUAUUUUCAUCGGCUACCCGCAGACAUCCUUUGGAUAUCUCUUCUAUAGACCGAAGGACAAUGUUGUCUUCGUUGCGAGGAGAGGAGUUUUCCGAGAGCGAGAACUCAUAAGCCAAGGAGACAGUGGGAGGCAAAUCGAACUUGAAGAGAUUCAAGAGUCGAUAGAUGAAGGAACCUCUACCGCUGGCACUCAACCCGAGGAGGAAACUCCGGUUGAACCGAUUGACGAAUCCUUACCUCUUAGACGUUCCGAUAGAGUUAGAGUUCAUCCCCAGUUUUAUGGCUUUCAUAUUACUACCGAAGGGGACACGUAUAUUAGUGAUGGUACACUAGUAAAUCUUGAUGAACCUAAUAGCUAUAAGGAAGCCAUGGCAGGCCCGGAGUCUGCAAAAUGGAAAGAGGCAAUGGAUAGCGAGAUCCAAUCCAUGUAUGAUAACCAAGUUUGGAAUUUGGUUGAUUAUGUGCCCGGACGUAAGACCGUUGGGUGCAAAUGGAUCUUCAAGAAGAAGACCGACGUGGAUGGAAACGUACACACAUAUAAAGCGCGAUUGGUUGCGAAGGGCUUUACUCAAACUCCCGGAGUUGACUAUGAUGAGACCUUCUCACCAGUUGCGAAGAUUAAAUCUAUUAGAGUGAUGCUAGCUAUUGCCGCAUUUCAUGAUUAUGAGAUUUGGCAAAUGGAUGUCAAGACCGCUUUCCUUAACGGAAAGUUGGCUGAGGAUGUUUACAUGGCUCAGCCAGAGGGGUUUGUGGAUCCGAAGCAUCCGGAUAGAGUGUGUAAGCUUGAGAAGUCCAUUUAUGGACUUAAGCAAGCGUCUCGCAGAUGGAAUCUUUGCUUCGAUGAGAAAGUCAAAGAGUUUGGAUUUGUACGAAGCGAAGACGAAUCUUGUGUAUAUGUCAAAGCCAGUGGGAGUAUAGUAAGCUUCCUCGUUCUAUAUGUCGAUGACAUAUUACUCAUAGGAAACGACAUCCCGACUCUGCAGGAGGUUAAGUCCUGGCUCGGGAAGUGCUUCGCUAUGAAGGACCUCGGAGAGGCUUCUUACAUUUUGGGAAUAAGGAUAGUAAGAGAAAGAAGUAAGAGACUAAUUGGACUUAGUCAGAAUACUUACUUAGAGAAGGUACUAAAACGUUUUAGUAUGGAAAACUCAAAGAAGGGAGAACUACCGAUACAAAGUAAUGCCAAAUUGAGUAAGACUCAAAGUCCGAGUACCGAAGCUGAGAUAGCAGAAAUGAGCCGAGUACCAUACGCUUCCGCAGUUGGCUCAAUCAUGUACGCUAUGACUUGUACUCGCCCUGAUGUAGCCUUCGCUUUGAGCAUGGUUAGCAGAUAUCAAGGGAAUCCUGGCAAAGCACAUUGGAUUGCGGUGAAGAAUAUCCUUAAGUACCUUCGGAGGACAAAGGAAUGGUUCUUAGUCCUCGGAGGGAGUGAUGACUUGAAGGUGCGAGGGUAUAGUGACGCCAGUUUUCAGACCGACAGGGACAACUACCGUUCGCAGUCGGGCUGGGUCUUUACCCUAAAUGGAGGAGCAGUGACAUGGAAGAGUUCCAAGCAGGAAACCGUAGCUGAUUCAACGUGCGAAUCAGAGUACAUUGCAGCGAGCGAAGCGUCGAAGGAGGCAAUAUGGCUAAAGAACUUCAUCGGUGAUCUUGGAGUUGUACCUGCCAUAAAGGAGCCAAUGGAGAUUUUCUGUGAUAACGAAGGUGCGGUUGCCUUAACCAAGGAACCGAGGGAUCAUGGUAGAUCAAGACAUAUCGACAGAAAGUAUCACUUCAUUAGACAUCGUGUAGAAGAAGGACAACUCGUAGUGAAGAGGAUAUCAUCAGAAGAUAACCCAGCAGAUCCGCUUACGAAGGGACUGAGUAGGGUUAAGCACUUGCAGCAUGCUAGGAGUAUUGGGCUGAAGGAUGAUAUUAGCAUAGAUUAGAUAGUAUUAGAAACGUGUAAUAGAUAAAUGUAAUUAACAUUUGAUGAUUAAAUAAAGGAGUUUUAUUUAUGAGUAAUGUUACUAUCUUAUGUUAAUUGUUUAGCUAUUGUUUCACUUUGCAUGUUUUGACUUCCAGAAUAAUUGAGUUUAUUAGGAAUAAUCGAAUUGUUCAAAUGGUCCACAAUCGUUCAUAUGUUGGGAGUAGAUAUGAAUGAAGAUUGUCAUGAAUUGGUGUGUAGAAUGUCUAAAUGGUGUUAGACAUAGCAAAGGAUUGCUGCAACGUUCAUGAGUGCUUAUGAACUAGUUUUGAGCAUUGGAAUAAACCCGCGCUUGCUGGAAUCACCUUAUGGAAUACGAUAUAAAAGGUGAUCGCAAGACGAUAAUAUCAUAUAGUCUUAAAACCUAGAUAUAUGGUUUAUUAUUUGUUAAUUGAUUGUACAUUGAUAAUACGAAAACGCAUCAGUAACUUGGUGUUAUAAAACGUAUUGUUGUGUAUAGUUGGUAAAUGAAUAAGUAAAUGCAUAUAAGUCGAAGUUUAUCUGUAACUUUUAUCUAAGAAGGUAAAAGCGAUAUCUCGGCCGCUCGAUGAUUUGAUUUGACUUAUGUGCCGGGCCCGGUCAGAACUGAAUUGAUGUGUUCGAUUAAGUUCUAUGUCAAAUAAAUCAGAGAUCGAGAAACCUAAAUGCUUGACUAACCAUUCCAUAGGAUUGUCAGCAUGAUAUCUAACAGAGGACUGUACGUUCCCUUAUCUAAAGGACAAGAUUGAUUAGAUCAGAGUUGACAGCGUCUUUGAGAGCUACGAUUGCAAACCGAAUUGUACUUGUAUAGUUACUAGACUUAUCCAAGUGGGAGACUGUUGGAAUAGUGUCUAAGGCUGUAACUAUAUUAGGCAAGUAUUUGAUCCGGUUGUGCAUGGUCCUUUUGGGUUGCCUUCACCAUAGCAACUUGAUAGGAUGAUUUAUUAAGAGAGAGUAAAUAUUAUUAAUAUAUUAUGAGAAUAAUAUAAAGAAUAAUAUAUUGUUAUUUGAUUAAUAUAAGUCAUUGAAUUAAUUGGAAUUAAUUUGGCGACUUAAAGAGAUUAAUUAAAUAAGAGGGUAUAAACUGUCAAUUGUUUGAUAGUUAAGCUUUAGACUGUAAAUCCAUUUGGAUAUGGUAUGGACGAAUUCUAAGAGGUUUAGGAUAGCUAAAAUCGUCCAUAUGAUUAUCUUAGGAAUGGAUUUGGAUAGCCUUAAGAGAAGAUUAUCCAAUUAGGGUUUAGGUUGUAACCCUUAAGGAGUCUACAAGUAUAAAUAGACCCUAUUGCAAAGGGAAAUCAGUACUUCAACAAAAGUAGAGAAGCCCUGGCCGAAUUCCUCCCCUCUCCUCUCUCCCAAAUCAUCCUCCUUGCUAUUUGGUGUUUGUAAGCCAUUAGAGGAGUGACAUUUGUGACUCUAGAAGCUCCAAGACAACAAGAUCAACAAGGAAUUCAAAG